CCUACGGGUGGCAGCAGUGGGGGAUCUUGCACAAUGGGGGGAACCCUGAUGCAGCGACGCCGCGUGGGUGAAGGAGCGUUUCGGCGCGUAAAGCUCUAUCGGUAGGGAAGAAGAUGACGGUACCUGGCCAUGAAGCCCCUGAUAACUACUUGCCAGCAGCCGCGGUCAUACGUAGGGGGCGAGCGUUAUCCGGAUUUACUGGGUGUAACGGGGGCGCAGACGGGAAUGCAAGCCAGGAGUGAAAGCCCGGGGCCCAACCCCGGGAGUGCUCUUGGAACUGGAGGGCUGGAGUACAGGAGGGGCAGGCGGAAUUCCUAGGGUAGCGGUGAAAUGCGUAGAUAUUAGGAGGAACACCGGUGGCGAAGGCGGCCUGCUGGACUGUGACUGACGUUGAGGCCCGAAGGCGUGGGGAGCAAACAGGAUUAGAUACCCGAGUAGUC
rnacentral:rRNA from 1 species